rnacentral:rRNA from 1 species
ACGUAGGGGGCGAGCGUUGUCCGGAUUUAUUGGGCGUAAAGGGCGUGUAAGCGGUCUGCUAAGUCAGAGGUGAAAAUCCAGGGCUCAACCCUGGAACUGCCUCUGAAACUGGUGGACUUGAGUGCUGUAGGGGCGGGCGGAAUUCCGGGUGUAGCGGUGGAAUGCGUAGAGAUCCGGAGGACAACCGGUGGCGAAGGCGGCCUGCUGGGCAGUUACUGACACUGAGGCGCGACAGCGUGGGGAGCAAACAGGA